UUUCUAGCUAAUCUUUCAGUCCUUGGUAUUUGUCCACCUUCUUCCUGAUGUUAUAGUCUCUGAGUAUUGCUACAUCCACCACCACUGCAGUUUUCCAUUCCUUGUCUACCACGACGAUGUCAGGUUCGUUGGCCAGUACGUGCUUGUCUGUCUGGAUCUGAAAGUCCCACGGGAUCUUAGCCCUGUCAUUCUCAACUACGCUUAGUGGUAUCUCCCAUCUGGACGUAGGCAGGUACAGCCCAUAUUUGAUGGUGAUGUUUCAGUACACAUUCCUAGAAAUGUGGGCCUGGAUUAAAAACAUCUGAGCUGUUUUUCUGUUGGCAGCGAUAGCAGCCAGCAAGUAAAUAGUGAAAAAUCCUUGAAAGCGC